CGGCCCCUGGACAAGACUGACGCUCAGGUGCGAAAGCGUGGGGAGCAAACAGGAUUAGAUACCUGGUAGUCCACGCUGUAAACGAUGUCGAUUUGGAGGUUGUUCCCUUGAGGAGUGGCUUCCGGAGCUAACGCGUUAAAUCGACCGCUGGGGAGUACUGCCGCAAGGUUAAAACUCAAAUGAAUUGACGGGGGCCCGCACAAGCGGUGGAGCAUGUGGUUUAAUUCGAUGCAACGCGAAGAACCUUACCUACUCUUGACAUCCAGAGAAUUUAGCAGAGAUGCUUUAGUGCCUUCGGGAACUCUGAGACAGGUGCUGCAUGGCUGUCGUCAGCUCGUGUUGUGAAAUGUUGGGUUAAGUCCCGCAACGAGCGCAACCCUUAUCCUUUGUUGCCAGCACAUUAUGGUGGGAACUCAAAGGAGACUGCCGGUGAUAAACCGGAGGAAGGUGGGGAUGACGUCAAGUCAUCAUGGCCCUUACGAGUAGGGCUACACACGUGCUACAAUGGCGUAUACAAAGAGAAGCGACCUCGCGAGAGCAAGCGGAACUCAUAAAGUACGUCGUAGUCCGGAUUGGAGUCUGCAACUCGACUCCAUGAAGUCGGAAUCGCUAGUAAUCGUAGAUCAGAAUGCUACGGUGAAUACGUUCCCGGGCCUUGUACACACCGCCCGUCACACCAUGGAGUGGGUUGCAAAAGAAGUAGGUAGCUUAACCUUCGGGAGGGCGCUUACCACUUUGUGAUUCAUGACUGGGUGAAGUCGUAACAAGGUAACCA
rnacentral:rRNA from 1 species